rnacentral:rRNA from 1 species
AUUGAACGCUGGCGGCAGGCCUAACACAUGCAAGUCGAGCGAGCGGCGGACGGGUGAGUAAUGUAUGGGGACUGCCCGAUAGAGGGGGAUAACUACUGGAAAAGGUGGCUAAUACCGCAUACUAUCGGAUAACCCAUAUGGGAUUAGCUAGUAGGGGGGGUAAAGGCUCACCUAGGCGACGAUCUCUAGCUGGUCUGAGAGGAUGAUCAGCCACACUGGGACUGAGACACGGCCCAGACUCCUACGGAGGCAGCAGUGGGGAAUAUUGCACAAUGUGCGCAAGCCUGAUGCAGCCAUGCCGCGGGUAUGAAGAAGGCCUUAGGGUUGUAAACUCCUUUCGACAGGGACGCGGUACCUGUAUAAGAAGCACCGGCUAACUACGUGCCAGCAGCCGCGGUAAUAC